AAGACUUAGAUUACAUAUUUUAAAAAUAAUUUCUUCUUUAUAUUUCUGCCUCUUUACUCCUCGUAUACCUUUAAAUGAGGCAAUGAGUCAGCGCCCCUUGGAAUUCUGACAGUGAAAGUUUAGAACAAAGAACAGAUAUGACUCACUGAUGGGGUAUGGAGAAAGCUGUAGAGCUCAGUAUCCCAGUCUCCACCAUCUCGAUGGCUUGCUUCAUUUCCAGCUUCUUGUACAAAGAAACAAUGCUUGAUUUGGGUAGGUUCUUUCUGAUGAGGAUUUUCCUUUUCUGCCCUCAUGAGAAGCCGCGGUUCCUGUGUAUUCUCAGCCCACGAGGCUGCCCUCAUUCUUCCCAUACUGGAUGCUUUGUGUCUCCUGACGUGCUGGGUCCUCCCCUCUGCGCCCUCCACACCCUGACUCGCUCGUGCUUCGCUGCCAGCCUCUCUGACCACUUCUUCUCAAUCUCCUUCCGCACUUUCUUUUCCUUGCCUGCGCCACGAGAGUGAGAGCUUCUCAGAGCCCCAUCCUCAGUGAGCUUCCAGCUACUCACUGACAACUCUAGCCGCAACCUCCCUCCUGAACUGGAAACUAAGUCCAGUAAAACAAUACAUUCUGAAAGCUGUACCAGUUCUCUCUGAAACAACCUACACCAAGUCAACUGCGUCUUCCACCUGACAAUUCUUCAUUUUCCAGGCUUAGCAUGCCCUGGAAUUUCAACCACUUCCUGUAGGGGAUGGCUCAGGAGCACUUUAUCUUCUUGGUCUCCAUUCCCUGAAUUCUCUCUGAUUUUAUGCCCAGCUUCCAAUGGAACCUUUAGAAGUUUGUCAGGGAGUGAAACCCUCAGCCUCCUUACUUGUCUCUCACUUGGUAGUGACUCCAGUGCCCACACACAUCUUCGAUUCCAGCCUUUAAGUGAUCCAUCAGCUGCCAAACAAACACAAGAAAAUGAUUGCUGGAGAAACGCGAACUCUGAAAGACACACAGGACAACUAAGACACUUUAAAAAACAAAGGAGCCUUUAAUUUUCUGGAGCCUAUCUGACUUUCUAUCACUGUGUUCAUGUAAUAAAAUAUUUGGUGCCUUUCAUAGUAAUUUCAUAGUAAUUUCAACUUUGGUUUAAAGACUCUGUAGAUAAGUUUCUUCAUAAUUCACAUAAUACGUAAUGAAAACAGGGCACCUGGCAUUUGCUUUGGAUAAUACUUUUCUAGAAUGAUCUAGGAAAUUUCUCAUUACUGAA
rnacentral:lncRNA from 10 species